rnacentral:tRNA from 1 species
AGUGUAAUAGUUUAAUAAAAAACAACGGGUUGUGGUGCCGUGGAUAUAAUAAAUAAAAUUUUUUACACUA